GGUCGAUUAGCUCAGCUGGGAGAGCACCUCCCUUACAAGGAGGGGGUCACUGGUUCGAGCCCAGUAUCGACCA
rfam:Shewanella woodyi ATCC 51908, complete genome.